GCGCCCAUAGUUCAAUUGGAUAGAACGUCGGAUUCCGGUUCCGGAGGUUAGAGGUUCGAGUCCUCUUGGGCGUAC
rnacentral:tRNA from 1 species